rnacentral:tRNA from 1 species
GCCUGGCUAGCUCAGUCGGUUAGAGCAUGAGACUCUUAAUCUCGGGGUCGUGGGUUCGAGUUCCACGUUGGGCG